rnacentral:rRNA from 1 species
UACGUAGGGUGCGAGCGUUGUCCGGAAUUACUGGGCGUAAAGAGCUCGUAGGUGGUUUGUCGCGUUGUUCGUGAAAACUCACAGCUCAACUGUGGGCGUGCGGGCGAUACGGGCAGACUGGAGUACUGCAGGGGAGACUGGUAUUCCUGGUGUAGCGGUGGAAUGCGCAGAUAUCAGGGGGAACACCGGUGGCGAAGGCGGGUCUCUGGGCAGUAACUGACGCUGAGGCACGAAGGUCAGGGGAGCAAACGGG